rnacentral:lncRNA from 10 species
GCGCCAUUUUCGAGUGAUGCCUGAUCUCAUCAAUCUAGCGGGAGAGACAGGAUAACCUGUCCGAGAGUAUAGCGCCACUAUGACUCCGCCGGAAAAAUUACUUUAAAAAUCGCCAAAAAUUACUUGGAGCAAAGGGCAGUCGGCGGAGCUUCGCCAAGGCUGGCGCAGUCGGUUUUGACCUGUAGCAGAGAACCAAUUCUGGAGAACAGCCUCACUUCUUUGAUUGAAUACUUACAUAAUGCAUUGGAACAUGACAUGAGAUUAAGGUUUAAUAAUGAUAGAAUGAAGACCACAAUAAAAGAGACCUCUACUUAGCUCAGCAAUUCUUACCUUUCUUACCUAUUUGAUGAAGAUGUCUUUUGAAAGGUGUACUGCAAGGAACAAAAUGUUUGUAAAUUCUCCUUUUACCAAGGUUUCUUUUUUAAUUGAUGCCAAAGAGUUCCAAUAUUGAACAUCUUAAGUCUGUUACUUGGAUUACGGAUUGAGUUUGGAGCUUACUCAGAGGACUACAGGAGAGUAUCCAGGAAGUAGCAAGAAAUGUGGAUAAUUACUGUACCUUCCUCAUGGAAAAAGUUUUAUUUAAAGUGUUAUUUCUCAUUGAAUACUAUCAAAAAGGAAAAAAAAAUGACCUAAACUUUUGAGAUAGAUUUGGCUCUAGUAAGUAUUUAGUUAUAUCACUUGCAUAUCUGGGAGAAGAAAUAAGAGACUAUCAUCAGUACAUUCCCAUCUACUAAAAAAAUUUAUUUUACACAUGUCAAGGGAUUACUUAUAACUUCCAUUUUAUUACUAAUAGCUUGAACCCUUUUAAUGAAGACCUAACUCCUCCACCAGAAAUUUAAGUUUAUGUUCUUACUUUGUUUACUUAUAAAAUACAUCUCAGGUAUUUCGGAUGUCUUUUUUUUUUCUAAGCCUAUAUGAAAUGAAAAAUAUAUUGGCAAAAUAAAUGUUUAAACCUUUUACGUUAAAAUUACUUUGAAAGAUGAAAAGUUAGUGCUGUUUUUGUCUACGUUAUACUGAAAUUAAAUGUUUAUAAUUUAUAUUUUGGGUUUAUGUAUAAAUCAUGGAAUUUAUGCAAAAAUAUGAGUAGUACAGAUUCUCCUCUAAUUCUGUAGGACUUUGAAUAAUGUGAUAUUUUUCUUAUAAUUGGACCCUUGUGUUUUGAAGAAAUGCCAACUGCUUGAAGAAUCUCCUUGUUAUUUGUAUUAUUUGCUAUAGGGUUAGAUGUUGAGAAAUUCUGCUGACAAAAAAUUUUAAGCCAGUUUUACACUAAAUGUUCCUCAGUCUGAUUAAUUUGUUAUUGGAUGUAUUCUGUAUCUUUCUUUUGUAAUUUGUAACUUUUAUCCACUUAGCACGAAUGAUUCUAUUAAAGAAAAUCAUUAGGAAGUGGUAGAAACUUUA